GGCGGACGGGUGCGUAACACGUGAGGAACAUGCCUAUCGGCGGGGGAUAGCCGGCCCAACGGCCGGGUAAUACCGCGUACGCUCACCGGGGGGCAUCCCCUGGUGAGGAAAGCAGCAAUGCACCGAUAGAGUGCCUCGCGGCCUAUCAGCUAGUUGGUGAGGUAAUGGCUCACCAAGGCAACGACGGGUAGCUGGUCUGAGAGGAUGAUCAGCCACAUUGGGACUGAGACACGGCCCAGACUCCUACGGGAGGCAGCAGUGGGGAAUCUUGCGCAAUGGCCGAAAGGCUGACGCAGCGACGCCGCGUGUGGGAUGACGGCCUUCGGGUUGUAAACCACUGUC
rnacentral:rRNA from 1 species